CCUACGGGUGGCAGCAGUAGGGAAUCUUCCACAAUGGACGAAACUCUGAUGCAGCAACGCAGCGUGAGUGAAGAAGUAUUUCGGCUCGUAAAGCUCUAUUAGCAGGGAAGAAAGUGAGAGUAAGUAACUAGCCUUUAUUUGACGAUAAUGUCUCAGCAAGUCACGGCUAACGACGUGCCAGCAGCCUCGGUAGUACGUAGGUGGGAAGCGUUGUCCGGAUUUACUGGGCGUGAAGGGAGUGAAGGCGGUUGAACAAGUCUGAAGUGAAAGCCUAUGGCUUAACCGGAGAAUUGCAUCAGAAACUGUGGAACUGGAGUGCAGGAGAGGUGAGUGGAAUUCCUAGUGUAGCGGUGGAAUGCGUAGAUAUAAGGAGGAACACCAGUGGCGAAGGCGGCUCUCUGGACUGUAACUGACGCUGAGGCUCGAAAGCGUGGGUAGCGAACAGGAUUAGAUACCCGUGUAGUC
rnacentral:rRNA from 1 species